UUGAUUGCAGACUAUUAACAGCAUUAAAGAUGAACAAUUUAAAUAAUUCCCGCAUGAGUUCGAAUAUUUCACCAGUCCCUUCCAGGCCAGAUGUUCCCAAAGUGCCAGAUAAUUCGACACGACGUACGUACAAAUCUAUCUAUAUAUACAUAUAAGUGAACAAGCUCAGAGACUUUGGGUGAAGUAAAGCAUAUAAAUUACUAAUACGCACUGUUGUCUUUGUCUGCACUUGGACAGAUACACAUGUAGCUGGUAGCAUAUGUAAUUCAAGUGUAAAAUAACAACGUUUUCACCUUGCCCACAAUGUUGCCAAAAUGUUUCACUUUGUCUGGGACACAAAGAUUCAAUUAGUUUGCCAUUGAAUACAUUUUGAUAUGUCAGUCAGUGUUUUAUUUGGCACAGAUUGUAGACAUUUGCUAAUUGAAUUAUAUUUAUCGAGAAAUUCCAUCACUUUGCUGAGGGAUUUAUAAUUAGUUUUGAGCAGGAAUGUGAUGGAAAUUUUCUGAGACUUGCUAUUGCGAUUUAUUUUUGAGGAACAAGAUUGCACACAAAACUCUCCUGAGCUGUUAAUGAUUAUCAAUUUUCAAAUCAGUCGAAAAUUAAAACCAAUACAGUCUCAAAGGAAACAGUACAACUCUUGCUCAGUAUUAAAAUAAUUUAAUUUAAUUAAUAAUGAUUUGGCUCCUUUAUUAUAUUUCACUCUGUGAAAAGCUAAGAAACUUUUGUGUUUUACUUCAAAGCAAAUUGUGCCAUAAUCACUGAAAUUUGCGUUAAAAUUAUAAAAGUUUGCGUCAAACAUAAGUUCUUAGUUAGUCAGCUGUUGAAGUUUGUCUUUUGUUCAAGUUACUGCAAUUUCGCACAGUUUUUAUUCACAAAUUUGCAUAUUUUGUGCGCAGGCGUCACGCGUCGAAUGGAUGGAACAGCUGUUUUUAGCUUUCUGGAUUUGAAUUGCUGUAUUCAAAUUGUUGUAUUUGAAUUGUUUUUGAAUUCGCCAAGUGGUUUGGUGGGUGAGUGGCUUUGUGGCCGCCUUGACCUUGUAACUGUUUUCAAAGUACUUUGUCUCGCUUAAUUGUUUCGCGGUAUUUACCAGGCAUUUAUUGUGAGCAUUUUUAAGUACCUCCAUUACCGAUGGUUUUGUUCAGCAUCAAAGGUGUGAAUGAAGAAGUCAAACAAAAGCCACUAAAAACCAAUAAAGAUGUACACGACUUACAACUGUCGAUCUCGGCUUGGCCUACCUUAAAUAUGAGGUUGUUAUACACUUAUGGUGGCUUUUUUUACAAAACUUGUAUAUCGGUUAAGAAAUCUAUGUUUUACCUGUCCUUCUAAUAAAUGAUUAUGAAUAAAUGAAGAGAGCAAGUGUAUUAAGCUCUUCGUAUUGAUUAGUUUA